GAUGAAUGAUGGCGGAGGGGAGAAUACAGGCAAGUCGAGCGAACAGACGAGGAGCUUGCUCCUCUGACGUUAGCGGCGGACGGGUGAGUAACACGUGGGUAACCUACCUAUAAGACUGGGAUAACUUCGGGAAACCGGAGCUAAUACCGGAUAAUAUAUUGAACCGCAUGGUUCAAUAGUGAAAGACGGUUUUGCUGUCACUUAUAGAUGGAUCCGCGCCGCAUUAGCUAGUUGGUAAGGUAACGGCUUACCAAGGCGACGAUGCGUAGCCGACCUGAGAGGGUGAUCGGCCACACUGGAACUGAGACACGGUCCAGACUCCUACGGGAGGCAGCAGUAGGGAAUCUUCCGCAAUGGGCGAAAGCCUGACGGAGCAACGCCGCGUGAGUGAUGAAGGUCUUCGGAUCGUAAAACUCUGUUAUUAGGGAAGAACAAAUGUGUAAGUAACUAUGCACGUCUUGACGGUACCUAAUCAGAAAGCCACGGCUAACUACGUG
rnacentral:rRNA from 1 species